rnacentral:rRNA from 1 species
UGGGGAAUUUUGGACAAUGGGCGAAAGCCUGAUCCAGCAAUGCCGCGUGUGUGAAGAAGGCCUUCGGGUUGUAAAGCACUUUUGUCCGGAAAGAAAUCCUUGGCUCUAAUACAGUCGGGGGAUGACGGUACCGGAAGAAUAAGCACCGGCUAACUACGUGCCAGCAGCCGCGGUAAUACGUAGGGUGCAAGCGUUAAUCGGAAUUACUGGGCGUAAAGCGUGCGCAGGCGGUUUGCUAAGACCGAUGUGAAAUCCCCGGGCUCAACCUGGGAACUGCAUUGGUGACUGGCAGGCUAGAGUAUGGCAGAGGGGGGUAGAAUUCCACGUGUAGCAGUGAAAUGCGUAGAGAUGUGGAGGAAUACCGAUGGCGAAGGCAGCCCCCUGGGCCAAUACUGACGCUCAUGCACGAAAGCGUGGGGAGCAAACAGGAUUAGAUACCCUGGUAGUCCACGCCCUAAAACGAUGUCAACUAGUUGUUGGGGAUUCAUUUCCUUAGUAACGUAGCUAACGCGUGAAGUUGACCGCCUGGGGAGUACGGUCGCAAGAUUAAAACUUAAAGGAAUUGACGGGGUCAUAGCU